rnacentral:rRNA from 1 species
GACGAACGCUGGCGGCGUGCUUAACACAUGCAAGUCGAACGGAAAGGCCCUGCUUUUGUGGGGUGCUCGAGUGGCGAACGGGUGAGUAACACGUGAGUAACCUGCCCUUGACUUUGGGAUAACUUCAGGAAACUGGGGCUAAUACCGGAUAGGGGCUCCUGCUGCAUGGUGGGGGUUGGAAAGUUUCGGCGGUUGGGGAUGGACUCGCGGCUUAUCAGCUUGUUGGUGGGGUAGUGGCUUACCAAGGCUUUGACGGGUAGCCGGCCUGAGAGGGUGACCGGCCACAUUGGGACUGAGAUACGGCCCAGACUCCUACGGGAGGCAGCAGUGGGGAAUAUUGCACAAUGGGCGGAAGCCUGAUGCAGCAACGCCGCGUGCGGGAUGACGGCCUUCGGGUUGUAAACCGCUUUCGCCGUUGACGAAGCGUGAGUGACGGUAAUGGGUAAAGAAGCACCGGCUAACUACGUG